GGUCAAGUGAAGAAGCGCAUACGGUGGAUGCCUUGGCAGUCAGAGGCGAUGAAAGACGUGGUAGCCUGCGAUAAGCUUUGGGGAGUCGGCAAACAGACUGUGAUCCAGAGAUCUCUGAAUGGGGGAACCCACUCAGCAUAAGCUGAGUAUCUUGUACUGAAUACAUAGGUGCAAGAGGCGAACCAGGGGAACUGAAACAUCUAAGUACCCUGAGGAAAAGAAAUCAACCGAGAUUCCCUUAGUAGUGGCGAGCGAACGGGGACCAGCCCUUAAGUUGGUUUGAGAUUAGUGGAACGCUCUGGAAAGUGCGGCCAUAGUGGGUGAUAGCCCCGUACACGAAAAUCUCUUGUCAAUGAAAUCGAGUAGGACGGAGCACGAGAAACUUUGUCUGAAUAUGGGGGGACCAUCCUCCAAGGCUAAAUACUACUGACUGACCGAUAGUGAACCAGUACCGUGAGGGAAAGGCGAAAAGAACCCCGGAGAGGGGAGUGAAAUAGAACCUGAAACCGUAUGCGUACAAGCAGUGGGAGCCUACUUUGUUAGGUGACUGCGUACCUUUUGUAUAAUGGGUCAGCGACUUAUAUUCAGUGGCGAGCUUAACCGAAUAGGGGAGGCGUAGCGAAAGCGAGUCUUAAUAGGGCGUUUAGUCGCUGGGUAUAGACCCGAAACCGGGCGAUCUAUCCAUGGGCAGGUUGAAGGUUAGGUAACACUGACUGGAGGACCGAACCGACUACCGUUGAAAAGUUAGCGGAUGACCUGUGGAUCGGAGUGAAAGGCUAAUCAAGCUCGGAGAUAGCUGGUUCUCCUCGAAAGCUAUUUAGGUAGCGCCUCAUGUAUCACUCCAGGGGGUAGAGCACUGUUUCGGCUAGGGGGUCAUCCCGACUUACCAAACCGAUGCAAACUCCGAAUACCUGGAAGUGCCGAGCAUGGGAGACACACGGCGGGUGCUAACGUCCGUCGUGAAAAGGGAAACAACCCAGACCGUCAGCUAAGGUCCCAAAGUCAUGGUUAAGUGGGAAACGAUGUGGGAAGGCUUAGACAGCUAGGAGGUUGGCUUAGAAGCAGCCACCCUUUAAAGAAAGCGUAAUAGCUCACUAGUCGAGUCGGCCUGCGCGGAAGAUGUAACGGGGCUCAAACCAUGCACCGAAGCUACGGGUGUCAUCUUUGAUGACGCGGUAGAGGAGCGUUCUGUAAGCCUGUGAAGGUGAGUUGAGAAGCUUGCUGGAGGUAUCAGAAGUGCGAAUGCUGACAUGAGUAACGACAAUGCGAGUGAAAAACUCGCACGCCGAAAGACCAAGGUUUCCUGCGCAACGUUAAUCGACGCAGGGUUAGUCGGUCCCUAAGGCGAGGCUGAAAAGCGUAGUCGAUGGAAAACAGGUUAAUAUUCCUGUACUUCCAGUUAUUGCGAUGGAGGGACGGAGAAGGUUAGGCCAGCCUGGCGUUGGUUGUCCAGGUUUAAGGUGGUAGGCUGAAAUCUUAGGCAAAUCCGGGAUUUCAAGGCCGAGAGCUGAUGACGAGUUGCCU
rnacentral:rRNA from 1 species